AAGACUAUAGUUUCAGAGAUCAUUUCUGUAGUUCUUUACUAGAGAAGUUUUUCUGAGCAUGUAGAGCACCAAAAACCACGAGAGGAAGCACAACAUUCUCUCCUGAGUGUGAAGCCAACUCUUGGUGUUGCUUUGCUGCAUCUGCCAUUUGCUAUUGAUAAUUAUUCUUCUGUCCCUAUUCGGUUUCGUGUCCCUAUUUGGUAAAACAAGAGGCAGAGGACAGGGUCUAAGUGUU
rnacentral:snoRNA from 1 species